rnacentral:siRNA from 1 species
CCGUCCCACCAACUUCGGCUC